UACGGGGGGAGCAAGCGUUGUUCGGAUCUACUGGGCGUAAAGGGCGGGUAGGCGGCCACCGCAAGUCAGUUGUGAAAUCUCCGGGCUUAACCCGGAAAGGUCAACUGAUACUGCGGGGCUAGAGUGCAGAAGGGGCAACUGGAAUUCUCGGUGUAGCGGUGAAAUGCGUAGAUAUCGAGAGGAACACCUGCGGCGAAGGCAGCUCGCUGGGACGUUACUGACGCUGAGACGCGAAAGCGUGGGGAGCAAACAGG
rnacentral:rRNA from 1 species